GACGAACGCUGGCGGCGUGCUUAACACAUGCAAGUCGAACGGAAAGGCCCUGCUUUUGUGGGGUGCUCGAGUGGCGAAAGGGUGAGUAACACGUGAGUAACCUGCCCUUGACUUUGGGAUAACUUCAGGAAACUUGGGCUAAUACCGGAUAGGAGCUCCUGCUGCAUGGUGGGGGUUGGAAAGUUUCGGCGGUUGGGGAUGGACUCGCGGCUUAUCAGCUUGUUGGUGGGGUAGUGGCUUACCAAGGCUUUGACGGGUAGCCUGCCUGAGAGGGUGACCGGCCAAAUUGGGACUGAGAUACGGCCAAGACUCCUACGGGAGGCAGCAGUGGGGAAUAUUGCACAAUGGGCGGAAGCCUGAUGCAGCAACGCCGCGUGCGGGAUGACGGCCUUCGGGUUGUAAACCGCUUUCGCAUGUGACGAAGCGUGAGUGACGGUAAUGGGUAAAGAAGCACCGGCUAACUACGUG
rnacentral:rRNA from 1 species